CACGUGGGUAACCUGCCUGUAAGACUGGGAUAACUCCGGGAAACCGGAGCUAAUACCGGAUAGUUCCUUGAACCGCAUGGUUCAAGGAUGAAAGACGGUUUCGGCUGUCACUUACAGAUGGACCCGCGGCGCAUUAGCUAGUUGGUGAGGUAACGGCUCACCAAGGCGACGAUGCGUAGCCGACCUGAGAGGGUGAUCGGCCACACUGGGACUGAGACACGGCCCAGACUCCUACGGGAGGCAGCAGUAGGGAAUCUUCCGCAAUGGACGAAAGUCUGACGGAGCAACGCCGCGUGAGUGAUGAAGGUUUUCGGAUCGUAAAGCUCUGUUGUUAGGGAAGAACAAGUGCAAGAGUAACUGCUUGCACCUUGACGGUACCUAACCAGAAAGCCACGGCUAACUACGUGCCAGCAGCCGCGGUAAUACGUAGGUGGCAAGCGUUGUCCGGAAUUAUUGGGCGUAAAGGGCUCGCAGGCGGUUUCUUAAGUCUGAUGUGAAAGCCCCCGGCUC
rnacentral:rRNA from 1 species